UAUUGGACAAUGGGUGGAACCCUGAUCCAGCGACGCCGCGUGAGUGAAGAAGUAUUUCGGUAUGUAAAGCUCUAUCAGCAGGGAAUAAAGAAAUGACGGUACCUGACUAAGAAGCCCUGGCUAACUACGUGCCAGCAGCCGCGGUAAUACGUAGGGGGCAAGCGUUAUCCGGAGUUACUGGGUGUAAAGGGAGCGUAGACGUCGAUGUAAGUCUGAAGUGAAAGGCGGGGGCCCAACCCCCGGACUGCUUUGGAAACUGUAUGACUGGAGUGCAGGAGAGGUAAGUGGAAUUCCUAGUGUAGCGGUGAAAUGCGUAGAUAUUAGGAGGAACACCAGUGGCGAAGGCGGCUUACUGGACUGUAACUGACGUUGAGGCUCGAAAGCGUGGGGAGCAAACAGG
rnacentral:rRNA from 1 species